rnacentral:piRNA from 1 species
UCCAGGAAUGAUGCAUGGGUUCCUCAUGUUU